rnacentral:lncRNA from 1 species
AUACAUACCCUAUUUUAAAUCCAACAAACGUACGCUCUGUUCUAGCCAACUGAAUUAGUUUAGAGUUUGAACCCCGUGAGACAAACGAAGAUAGAAAAUGUUAAAACAGUGCCCAAAAACGUGUAAAAUCCACUAGACACGUCAAAAAGUUGGGCCAUUAAUAAUUUCUAGUGCAAUCUAUCAUCUGGAUUCCGAACCAGUGCAAUGUUCCGAAGAAUUGAGUCGUCGUCACAUGACGUAAAGAGAAACAUUGCAUUAGCCAUGGAUGAGCUCAGCGUGAAGGAAACAAACUCCGGCGUGGUUUACUGCUUUGAGCCAAGCAUGCGAUAUCGAGUACGUACUCCCAAUUCAAAUCAAAACCGAAGCAAAGCCCAAAUGAGAAUGGGCCUGACGCCCACAAAAUAAGAAGACCUAAAUACCAAAAUUUCCCACAUUUAUUUAUAUACUGUGAUAUCCAUCUAACCUAUGCUCUCUAUAUAAUAUACUCAAUUAUGACUUUUAUAAUGCAUUGAAGACGAUUAUGCAAGUAUUGUUUUUGUCAAGAUACGCAGGCGAUUGUAUGUAUAUAUCCAACACACAUGAGUAUCACGGAAGAUUUCAACCACAACCCAACCAAAGCUCAUUAAAAAAAAAAAAGUGAAAGAUAUGCAAUAAAUUGUACAAGUAUAUUAUAUAUUUGAAAUUAUGAAUUUCUUUCUGGUAUAAAGUCUUUUUUUUUGUGGGAAUUAAAAUAGCGCCGUACAGUAUUUCGGUGUGACCUAAUUAAGAAGAUACGUGAACCCACAAAAUUGACAUAUUUUGGACGGUUCGUAGAGAGAGAGAGAGGGAGAGAUCCAACGAAACCAGACUCUCUUGAAGUUGUUGUGUAAUAACAACAACGUAUAAGCAGAAGUAGCAGGCAGGCGAGGCAGCAUCACAGGGUUCACGUUUAUUUCGUCCAGCGACCGACUUAUAAGUGACCCGCGACGUCACUUUAGCAGAAGAUCCCCCACCCCCCGAUUUUAUAUAUAAUAAUAUGAACUGAUCAAAAUCCAAAUAAGAUCCGAAAUAAGAUUUUGCAGAAUCCCAUCCAGAGAAGAGAAGGAGCCAGGUGGUCGGUUCGGCCGCCGCCCAUACUAAACCGGGCCCGGUCUAGUUAACAUCAAACACUACAAUCGCUUUCCCGGUAAGAAACUACGGCGCGUGUAUGUGAAGCACCUUUCACUCUUUUCUCUCCUAUUAAAUGCCAAAAUUCCAAUUUAAUUAAUGACGACAUCCCCACGCAUUAUAAUUGUACAGUUACUUUUACUAGUAGUAGCAGCAGACUCAUUAUCUCUACCCCCUCAUGCACAAACUAAAGAAAACAAAAAAGUUUAAGACAAUUAAAAUUUUAACGAUAAAGACUCAGUAGCUUUUUAUGAAGUACAUAAACAGUCGAUGAAUUCUUAGGACUACAUGUUUGGUUUCUGUACGUAGCUAAAAUUUGUAAAAUUACAUACACAGUAUGAUAUAUUAGUUUAAGCUAUAGGUUGAUAUGAUAGAGAAUAAGAAACAAAAGAGGGAGAGGGAGAGAGAGAGAGAGAGACAAAGAAGACAAGGACAGAACAAAAGCCUGCGAAGCCUCCAACGGUAUUCAUUGUGGACCAACCUCAAGUGUGGGACGACUCUAUCCAUCUACAAUUUUCAUUUUCU